AUUGAACGCUGGCGGCAGGCCUAACACAUGCAAGUCGAACGAGUGGCGGAGGGGUGAGUAAUGUCUGGGAAACUGCCCGAUGGAGGGGGAUAACUACUGGAAACGGUAGCUAAUACCGCAUACCAUCGGAUGUGCCCAGAUGGGAUUAGCUAGUAGGUGGGGUAACGGCUCACCUAGGCGCCGAUCCCUAGCUGGUCUGAGAGGAUGACCAGCCAAACUGGAACUGAGACACGGUCCAGACUCCUACGGGAGGCCGCAGUGUGGAAUAUUGCACAAUGGGCGCAAGCCUGAUGCAGCCAUGCCGCGUGUAUGAAGAAGGCCUUCGGGUUGUAAAGUACUUUCAGCGCGGAGGCGUUACUCUCAGAAGAAGCACCGGCUAACGCCGUGCCAGCAGCCGCGGUAAUAC
rnacentral:rRNA from 1 species